rnacentral:rRNA from 1 species
GGGCAGCGCGGGUAGCAAUACCUGGCGGCGACCGGCAAACGGGUGCGGAACACGUACGCAACCUUCCCAUAACAGGUGAAUAGCCUUCCGAAAGGGAGAUUAAUACACCGUAACAUAGCGAAGUGGCAUCACUUUGUUAUUAUAGGCUUCGGCCGGUUUUGGAUGGGCGUGCGGCUGAUUAGGUAGUUGGCGGGGUAACGGCCCACCAAGCCUGCGAUCAGUAACUGGUGUGAGAGCACGACCAGUCACACGGGCACUGAGACACGGGCCCGGCUCCUACGGGAGGCAGCAGUAAGGAAUAUUGGUCAGUGGACGCAAGUCUGAACCAGCCAUGCCGCGUGAAGGAUGAAGGCCCUCUGGGUUGUAAACUUCUUUUAUCUGGGACGAAAUCCAAGGUUUCUACUUUGGUUGACGGUACCAGAUGAAUAAGCACCGGCUAACUCCGUGCCAGCAGCCGCGGUAAUACGGAGGGUGCAAGCGUUAUCCGGAUUCACUGGGUUUAAAGGGUGCGUAGGCGGGCAGGUAAGUCAGUGGUGAAAUCUCCGAGCUUAACUUGGAAACUGCCGUUGAUACUAUCUGUCUUGAAUACUGUGGAGGUAAGCGGAAUAUGUCAUGUAGCGGUGAAAUGCUUAGAUAUGACAUAGAACACCUAUUGCGAAGGCAGCUUGCUACACAGUCAUUGACGCUGAGGCACGAAAGCGUGGGGAUCAAACAGGAUUAGAUACCCUGGUAGUCCACGCCCUAAACGAUGGAUACUUGACAUCAGCGAUACACAGUUGGUGU